GACGUAGGGCGCGAGCGUUGUCCGGAUUUAUUGGGCGUAAAGAGCUCGUAGGCGGUUUGUUGCGUCGGCUGUGAAAUCCCGAGGCUCAACCUCGGGUCUGCAGUCGAUACGAGCAAACUAGAGUGUUGCAGGGGAGACUGGAAUUCCUGGUGUAGCGGUGAAAUGCGCAGAUAUCAGGAGGAACACCGGUGGCGAAGGCGGGUCUCUGGGCCGAUACUGACGCUGAGGAGCGAAAGCGUGGGGAGCAAACAGG
rnacentral:rRNA from 1 species